AGUGAACGCUGGCGGUAGGCCUAACACAUGCAAGUCGAACGGCAGCACAGUAAGAGCUUGCUCUUACGGGUGGCGAGUGGCGGACGGGUGAGGAAUACAUCGGAAUCUACUUUUUCGUGGGGGAUAACGUAGGGAAACUUACGCUAAUACCGCAUACGACCUACGGGUGAAAGCAGGGGAUCUUCGGACCUUGCGCGAUUGAAUGAGCCGAUGUCGGAUUAGCUAGUUGGCGGGGUAAAGGCCCACCAAGGCGACGAUCCGUAGCUGGUCUGAGAGGAUGAUCGGCCACACUGGAACUGAGACACGGUCCAGACUCCUACGGGAGGCAGCAGUGGGGGAUAUUGGACAAUGGGCGCAAGCCUGAUCCAGCCGUACCGCGUGCGUGAAGAAGGCCUUCGGGUUGUAAAGCCCUUUUGUUGGGAAAGAAAAGCAGCAGGUUAAUACCCCGCUGUUCUGACGGUACCCAAAGAAUAAGCACCGGCUAACUUCGUG
rnacentral:rRNA from 1 species